rnacentral:rRNA from 1 species
AUGAAGUCGGAAUUGCUAGUAAUCGCGGAUCAGCAUGCCGCGGUGAAUACGUUCCCGGGUCUUGUACACACCGCCCGUCACACCACGAGAGUUUACAACACCCGAAGUCGGUGAGGUAACCGCAAGGAGCCAGCCGCCGAAGGUGGGGUAGAUGAUUGGGGUGAAGUCGUAACAAGGUAGCCGUAUCGGAAGGUGCGGCUGGAUCACCUCCUUU